rnacentral:rRNA from 1 species
CAGUAGCCGCGGUAAUACGGAGGGUGCAAGCGUUAAUCGGAAUUACUGGGCGUAAAGCGCACGCAGGCGGUCUGUCAAGUCGGAUGUGAAAUCCCCGGGCUCAACCUGGGAACUGCAUUCGAAACUGGCAGGCUAGAGUCUUGUAGAGGGGGGUAGAAUUCCAGGUGUAGCGGUGAAAUGCGUAGAGAUCUGGAGGAAUACCGGUGGCGAAGGCGGCCCCCUGGACAAAGACUGACGCUCAGGUGCGAAAGCGUGGGGAGCAAACAGGAUUAGAUACCCGCGUAGUCCCUGUCUCUUAUAC